rnacentral:rRNA from 1 species
UACGAAGGGGGCUAGCGUUGUUCGGAAUUACUGGGCGUAAAGGGCGCGUAGGCGGUACUUCAAGUCAGGCGUGAAAGCCCCGGGCUCAACCUGGGAACCGCGCUUGAGACUGGAGAACUAGAGUUCGGGAGAGGAUAGUGGAAUUCCCAGUGUAGAGGUGAAAUUCGUAGAUAUUGUGAAGAACACCGGUGGCGAAGGCGGCUAUCUGGCCCGUAAUUGACGCUGAGGCGCGAAAGCGUGGGGAGCAAACAGG